GAAGAAAGGAGGCUCUGCAGGGACUACCAUCAGAAGGAUUUUGGUCCCAAUCACACAGAAUGAAACUGUUGAAAAGAGGAGGGAGUGCAUCCUCAGGGCGCUUUGUAUCUACCUCAACGAAGACCCGAACAUCCUCUUCAAAGAAUACCUGGAUACUGCUGGCACCGCUGCACAGAGGGAGCUUGAGCAACUUACCCUUGGC